UUCGGGAAAGCUCGGAAGCACUCGGCUCCAGCCGGCGAACGCGCCUCGAAGGGCCGCGGGGCGGGGCGUCCGCCAUCUUGGCACGCUAAUGCGUCCCGGGCGUGACCAAGUUUAGAUGAGUCGUCAUGCCCUCCCGUUGUACACACAGGUUCUGGAUUGGAACUCUGGUCCUCACACCCGCUGUUCUUCACACUUACAUGGUUCUAGCAGGGGAGCGCAGCUACUCGUAUACCCUUGACCGAAGACCGGUCCUCCUCUAUUCGGGGAAGGUCAUCCUCUUCGACUGAGCGUGCAGCUUCAGGAGGGACGCAUCUGGAGCAGUGAGGGAGGAAGGGGACACCCGCCUAGCCAGCCAGAUCAGCCGAAUCAACCCUGGCGAUCAAUGGGGUGACAGAUGUCGCAGCCAGAUCGCCCUCACAUCCUCGUUUUGCUUUGUUUUGAGACAGGAUUUCUGUGUGUUGCCUGGCUGUCCUAGAACUUGCUCUAUAGACCUGGCCUCGAACUCACAGAGAUCCGCCUGUCUCUGCCUCCUGAGUGCUGGGAUUAAAGGUGUGCACCACCGCUGCCCAGUAUGAAAUAAUUUUUUUUGAUGAAUACAUUUUUUAAAGAACAAUUCUUAAGCUGGAUGUGGUGGUUCACACUUUUAAUCCCAGCACGUGGGAGGCAGAGACAGGCAAAUCUCUGUGAGUUUCAGGCUAGCCUGGUCUACAUAGUGAGACCUUGUCUCAAAAAACAAAUGAAAAUAAAUUAAUAAAUAAAAAUUCUUUAAGAAAAUUAUGUUUAAGCUAGGAUCCUCCUUCUGGCCAAUUUAUUGAUCAAGUGGUUGGGUAAAAUAAGAAUGCCUUCCGACAAGUAAGUCCUCAAAGAAGUUUUACCUCCCACACCAUGUUUAAGGAAGCUUCUGGAACAUAUGCUCUUCUAGGAGGAGGAAAUGAACCAAAAAAAAAAAAAAAAAAGUUACGAAAGACAGAAACUUGAGCUCCGGCAGAGCAGAAGGGAGCCCACACUGGGUGCAGGGAAACUUCGCCUUUAACCCACACAAGGUCUGUGCCCAUGGCCACUUCCUUCAAAUGAACAAGCCCACACUUUUGUUAACCAUCUGGGUUCCGAUGACAGGCUGUGGAUGUGACAAUGAUGUUCAGGAUGAGACAGUAAGGAAUGGUCUCAGUACUGUUCCCCACCCCUAAUGUUUUAUCAUAAAAAUCUGGGACAGCUGUUGAGAUGGCUGUUCACGGGAAGAAGUACUUACUGCCAAGCCUGGUGACCUGCAUUGGAUCCCCAGGGCUGGAUACUGAAAGAAGAGACCCAAUUCCUUAAAGUUGUCCUCUGACUUCUGCCUGCAUACUGUGGCAUGUACACAGUACACACACACACACACACACACACACACACACAAAUAUAAUUUUUAAAAAUUAGUGCCGUGUGCUGGCAGAUGCCUUUAGUUCCAGCACUUUAGAGGCAGAGGUACACCUGUGAAUUUGAGUCCAGCCUGGUUUACAUGUGGAGUUGCAAGCUAGCCAGGGCUACAUAGUGAGAUUCUAUCUGAAAAAUGAAAAAAACAAACAAAACAAAAAAAAAAGACACCUUAGUGUUUUGUUUGUUUGUUGUUGUUUGAGACAGGGUUUCACUGUGUAUCACUGACUGUUCUGGAACUCACAUAAUACACUUUUUUGUUUCUUGUUUUUGUUUUGUUUUCCAGAUAGGAUUUCUCUGUGUAGCUUUGGCACCUUUCCUGGAACUCACUCUGUAGACCAGGCUGGCCUCGAACUCACAGAGAUCCACCUGGCUCUGCCUCCCAAGUGCUCUGAUUAAAGGUGUGUGCCACCACCCAGCCUUGUUUUGGUUAUCCCCCCCAACACACACAGGGGGACCAACAAUCACCAGCUGCCCAGUUACCAAGAAAUUAUUAUGCUUCCGCAGUCUCUUGAUGUUGAUUCCGCACGCAGAGCAGUCAAAGUUGCACUUUGUGUGCCACUCAUGACAGAAGCCCUUUUUUUGUUUUGGUUUUUUGAGACAGGAUCUCACUAUGUAGCCUUGGGUAGUCUGGAAUUUGCCAUAUAGACCAGGCUGGCACUGAACUCAUAGAGAUCUGCUGGCCUCUGUCUCCUGAGUGCUGGGAUUUAAGGUACAUGCCACCACACCCAUCUCAUCACGUGUAAGUUUUUUUUAGAAGAAUCAUUAAAAUAAAGGGUUAUACGUCUGGAAAGAUGGCUUGGAGGUUAAGAGCAGGUACUGUUCUUACAAGGGACUAGAGUUUGAGGCCCAGCACCCACCACCUCUGGUUUGGAUCUGAUGCCCUCUUCUGGACUCCAUGGGUACCAGCAAAGACAUGGGCACACACAUACAUAAAGAAAAAUGAAAGAAAUGUUUGGUUUUAUAAAAGGAGAAUUUAUAGUAAUUAAAGGAAUGCCUGUCAUUAAUGUGAAUAGUGAUUUAACAGUGCUCUCACAGAAUUCAAUUCCUGCCCAGGUUCCGUUGGGACAGAUGGGUCUCUCUGGUCUGUUUCACUAUGACCCCCCCCUUUUUUUCCAAAUUAGCUAAUUAAUCACUUUAUUUAUUUAUUUAUUUAUUUAUUUAUUUAGCAUACAUGCAUACCCAUGAUCCGUGGAGAUCAAAGCACUACUUUCUAGAGUUAAGUUUGUUUUUUUGUUUUUCUUUAGGUUUUGUUGUUUUGUUUUGUUUUGUAGACAGUGUCUAUGUAACCCUGGCUGUCCUGGAACUCAACAUGUAAACCAGACUGGCCUCGAACUCAGAGAUCCUCCUACCUCGGCUUCCUGAGUGUUAGGAUUAAAGGCAUGGGCCACCACUCCUGGCCUCUGAAGCUAGCUCUUGCCUUCCGCCUUGUUAAGACAGGGUUUUCUGUGGCAUUGAGCUUCCAGGUGAUUCUCCUCACAUUGUGCUGUAGGAAUGCUGACAUUAUAGACCUUUCUACAGCAUCUGGCUUUUAUGUGGGCUGUGGGAAUCGAACUUAGGUCACCAGGCUUGGGGAAAAAAGCACUUUAUGCUGAGUGAUCUCCCAGGCCUACAACUUUAAUUCUAAAAAAUAUGUAUUUAUUUCAUGUGUGUGUGUGUGUGUGUGUGUGUGUGUGUGUGUGUGUGUGUGUGUGUGUCUGAAUCUGUGUGUGUACUAUAUGCAUGCAGGAGACCAAGGAGGUUAGAAGACGGCAUGUGGGAGCAGGGAUGGAGAGAUGGCACCGACAGUUUAGAGCACUUGCAGUGGACUAUUCCUUUACUCUGUAGGCUGCUGUAGAAGAGGAGGAGGAAGAAGUUAUGAGAAUACCUUGAAACUGGAGUUAUGGGUGGUUGUGGGUACUGGGAACUCUGCUGCUAUAAUAAAAUACCACAUCCUGGGUAAUUUAUAAAUAUCAGAAAUUUUUUUUUCUCACAGAGGAGGCUAUUAACUCCAAUAUCGAGGUCUCCGCAGAAUGAUGUGCACACACAAAUGCACAAACAUAUAAAAUACAUCAUGUGUAUUGUAUAAUUAGCACAGUACAGUUAUCAAAUAAUGGGGAUGGAGAGAUGAUCCAUAGAGUAAAGGCUUUACCCUGCAAGGGUGAAGAUCAGAAUUUGGAUCCCCAGCAUGCAAGUAAAUGCCAUGGAUGCCUAGCAGCUUAUCUAUAACCCCAGUGCACAGGAGGCAGAGGUGAGGGAUCCCUAGAGCAAGCUGGCUAGCUAGGCUAGUUAAAUCAGAGGCUUCUGGGUUUAAGGGAGAGAUCCUACAUCAAUACAUAAGGUUGUGAGUGGUUGAGGAAGACACCCAAUGUCAACUCUGGCCUCCAUAUAUAUACAUACAUGUGCAUACAUGUGCCCACACACAUGCACACAUCAUACAUCAAAUCAUUGAAACUACCUUAUUCCUCAUAUUUUUUACAGAUUCAUUCUAUUUUUAAUUCUAUGUAUGUGGGUACAUGUGAGUAUAGGUGUCCUCAGAGUGCAGAAGAGGGCAUUAGAUCCCCUGAAUUGCCUGAUGUCACCUGACAUGUGUUCUGGGAACCAAACCUGGGUCCUCUUCAGGAACAGUACCCUUAAUCACUUAGACAUCGCUCCAAAUCCUCCCAUCUUUGUGGGGGUAGGUAGAGUCUCUCUCUGUAGACCAGGCUGGCCUGGAACUCACAGAGAUCCACCUGCCUCUGCCUCUCCAGCCCUGGGAUUAAAGGUGGGAACCACCUUGCCUGGUUCACACCUUUCCCAUAUUUAUGGCCCUAGUGAACCCAUAAUUGAAUUGAGAGCACAAGGUUCAUGCUCCUCAUUUUGCACAGAGGAUCAAAGGGCUUACUGACUCAGGGGUGUUCCAGAGAUCAAUGAUGGCAAGUUGGAGCCAGGCUGGUGACAUCAGGGGAUCCUACUUCAGGAAUCUAUCAACUGUGCCAUGCCUCCAUAUAAAAUGACCAUAAGGUCUCAGUAACUAUUAUGUUUCAUUUUAUUUUAAAUAUUUAUUUCUUUUUAUUGUAUGUAUAUGUGUGUUUUACUUGCAUGUAUGUCUGUGGACCAUGUAUGUGUAGGUGCAUGCUUGAUGCCUGCAGAGCCAGAAAAAGGCUUUAGAUCCCCUGGAACUGAAGUUACAAACUGUUGUGAGUCACCAGGUGGGUGCUCCGAACUGAGCCUGUGUCCUCUGCAAGAGCAGGAAGUGCAGCCCAGUGGUAGUGGCGCAUGCCUUUAAUCCCAGCUCUUGGGAGGCAGAGCCAGGUGGAUCCCUGUGAGUUCGAGGCCAGCCUAGUCUACAGAGUGAAAUCCAGGACAGGCACCAAAACUAGAUAGAGAAACCCUGUCUUGAAAAAAACAACAAAACAAAACAAAACAGCAGAAAGUGCUCCUAACGGCUGAGCCACCUCUCUAGCCCUAGUCUAACUGAUUUUAAAACGGGCAAGAGUGUGGAUUGGAUGGGUCAGUGGAUAGAGGCACUUGCUGCCAAAUCUGAUGGCUUGAGUUUUAUCCUGGGGUCCCACACAGUAGGAGGAGAGAUCUGACUCCUGGGAGUUCUCUCCUGCCCUGACACGUGCACCGUGAUAUGAAUGUGUCCUACACACACAUGAUAAAUAAAUGUAAUGAACCAUUUUUAAAAAAUAGAUACUAAAAGAUGGAAGUGGGGUGGUGCAUGAGGAGGCAGAAGUCCUGGGAGUUCAAAGUCAUUCAUAGCUACGCGGAGAGUUCAAAAGCAGGCAGGGCAUGGUGCUACACACCUUUAAUCCCAACAUUGGAGAGGCAGAGGCAGGAGGAUCUCUGUGAAUUCCAGGCCAGCCUGGACUAUAUAACAAAAACUAAAAAUAUUUUUAAAAAAGCUAGCCUAGGCUACGUAACACCCCUGUCUCAAGCCACCUCCACCUCUCCAUGCACAGGCUGCCCACAACCUUCAGUCCCUACAGCCCACACAGCCAGCUUGACUGACGUACAUCUGGACUUUUAGACAUGGAAGAAAUAAACUUGGAGCUUGAUGAAGCCAUUGUCAUUUUGCAUCUGUGUUAUUUGUAAUCCUUCUGAACCAGUGGAGGGCUUUUUGUGUGUAUAUGUACAUGUACGUUUGUAUGUGGCUGUGCGUGUGCAUGUGUGUAUGGAAGCCGGAGGUCUAUGUCAGGUAUCUUCCUCAAUGAUGCUUCACUUUAUUUAUAAAUUUCAUGGAUUUCUUUAUUUUGGGUAGGGUCAGUGAGUGGGUCUGUGGGCAUGACCCCUGGGUGGAAGUCCAAAGGUGACUUGCAAGAGUUGGUGCUUGGUGAGAUGCAGCCGUCUCUACCUGCUGAGUCACCUUGCCCCUGUUUCCGACCACAGCCCUUUACUUUUUAACACAAGACCUCUCACUCCGCCAGGACACCCCAGGGAUCCCCCUACCUCUGCAUCCCCACCACAGGGAUUACAGGUGUUUUGACAUGGGUCCUGGGAAUUGGACUCAGGGCCUCAUGUUGGUACCGUAAGCCUUUUACCAACUGACCCAUCACCAGUCCCAAUACCUUUUGGUUGUCCCUGCCCAGCCACGACUUCCCAUUUCUUCACAAGACUUCCUCUACCCCAUUGUUUCUGGUUAUGUGACUCACUGAGUCCCUUUCUUCCCUAAUGAGUGAGAAGGCACCAGACAACCGAGAUUCUCCUCAGGGAUGAGCAUGUUUUUCUGGAGUGGCACAGGGACCUCAAGCAGGAGUUAGAAUUGGUAAUAUCAAUACCACCCAAGUCUAGCCUUUGAGUCUUCAUUAUUUUUUAAAUUUUGUAAACAUUUACUUGUGGGUGCAUGCAUGCACAUGUGUACACACGCACACAAAUAAAAAUACAAUUAAGUUUUUUUGUUUAAGAAAACAUUUCCCCAGCCAAGUGGUGGUGGCACAUGCCUUUGAUCAGGCAGAGGCCGGCAGAUCUCUGAUUUCGAGGCCAGCCUAGUCUACAGAGUUAGUUCCUAAGAAAAAUGAAAAAAACAAAAAACAAAAAAGAUAACCUUUCCCAAUUUUUUCAGUCUUUCUAUGUAGUUCUGGCUGUCCUGGAAAUCACUAUGUAGAUCAGUCUUGCUUCAAACUUACAGAGAUCCAUCUGCUUCUGUAUCCCAAGUGCUGGGACUAAAGGUGUGUACUACCAUGACUGUCAGGACUGAACUUUUGAAAUGUGGCAACUAGAUAUGAAGAACUGAAUUUUAGACGCUGGACAGGUGACUUUUCAAUAGACCACCUGCCUAGAAUCCCCCAGUGAGGGGCUGGGGUGUGGCUCAGUGGUAGAACACCUGCCUAGAAUCCCCCAGUGAGGGGCUGGGGUGUGGCUCAGUGGUAGAGCACCUGCCUAGAAUCCCCUACUGAGAGACUGGAGGUAUAGUUCAGUGGUAGAGCACCUGCCUAGACUUCCCUAGUGAGAGGCUAGGGAAUAAUUCAGUGAUAGAGACACACAUGCAUCAUGGCACUUGUGUGUCUGUGAACACACUCACACACAUAUGCAUUUUUAUUUUUUUGAAACAGGGUCUGACUAUGUAGCCAUAGGUGGUCUGGAACUUGAUAUGUAGGCCUGACUGGCCUUGGACUCAUAGAGAUCUGCCUCCCAAGUGCUAGAAUCAAAGGUAUGAACCACCACAUCCUGCUUAAAAAUUAGUUUUGAAUGCACAGUAAAGUGGAAAGAAAUCUACAGUGAAGACACAUUCCCCCAUAAAUCUACAACAGGCAUUCUAACUAUACUUGCUUUAUCGUACUUCUAUCCAUUUACCCAUUCACAAUUAAUCUCUUUUAUGUGUAUGUGUGUUGGUGCAGGUAUAAGUCUGUGAGUAUAUAUGUGUGAGCACACAUGUGUGAGUGCAUGUGUAUAAGUAUGCAGAUAGUGGUCAGAGGUCAACCUCAAGUGUCAUUUCUCAGUAACCAUGCACUUUAAUUUUAUUGCAUUUGUGUAUGUGUAUGUGUUUGCAAAGACACGUGGAAAUUAUCAAAAGCACCAUGGACCUACCAUACCAAUCCUCGUCUUGGAAUGUCUCUGUGUUAAAUAUAUUAAAAGAUUUAUUUAUCUUAUUUUAUGUGUAUAAGUGUUUUGUUUGCAUGUAUGUAUGCACACUAUGUGAGUUCCUGGUUUCCAUGGAGGUCGGAAGAGAAUGUUGGAUCCCAUAGAACUGAAGUUACAUUACGAAUGAUUGUGAGCCACCAAUAAGGGUACUGAGAACCAAACCUGGGUCCUCUACAGUAGUGAUGGAUGCUCUUAAACAGUGAGCCAACCCCUUAGUUGUUGGUUUUUUAAGAUUUAAAUUCUGUGUGUGUGUGUGUGUGUGUGUGUGUGUGUAUGUGUUUGUGUAUGUGUAUGUGUUUACAUGUGCAUGAAAGUACCCAAAGAGGCCAGGAGAGGGCAUCAGAUCCCCCAGAGCUAGAGUCACAGGCAGUUAUGAGCCACCCAAAGUAGGUGCUAGGAACCAAAAAGUUGUUAGCUGCCAUG